rnacentral:lncRNA from 1 species
ACCUGUCUUACUGUCUAUGCACUGGUUGAGCUUGGUGGCUCAGGGAAGAAGCUCCAGCUUGGCGCUGGCUCUGUCAGAGCCCUGGCCUGGAGCCCAGGUGCAUGGUAAACACUUUGUCAUCUUAGUGGGUUCUUGAUCUUCGACUCUGCUGUGAUUUAGAGGUAAAACCCCUGCCUCUGCCCACAGCCUAACACUCCAACUUGGUUCCUCUCUGCUCCACAUACUAGGAUCAGCAGGCUUAUCUUGGAAAGACUCCUUGGAAAGAUAAGUAAGUUUAUCUUGGAAAGAGUCCAGCAGAGAAUUCCGGCCCUACCCCAACACCCUGAUACAGUAUACACGAGGAGCCAUAACUCCUGAUCCAGGAAUCAUUUCUGCAGCAAUCACCCUGGGUGGCAGAGCUGGCUGUCCAGAUGGCUGGGAUUGUAUUUCAAGAACAUGUCACUUUCUAAAGAGAACUCCAGCUUGUUGUAGAAUUUCUGGUGCACCCCUGCAGCCACUGAGCCUUUGGAGAUGAAGCUUCAAGGCUAGAGGCAACUCUGGAAGCCUGAGCAUGAUUACAUUGUUGAAUAAAACACAGAGACAACAACUUUAAUUAUUAUGAAGAUGCAUCACUCUUAUACAAUAUUCAACAUUAGUUAAAUCCAAUUACAAUCACCCAGCAUCCAGCGAUCUUCUUCAAAGCCAUUUCCACAAGGUAACAAAUGAGCCAUCUUGCAAACUCAUCAAAAGAAAGGAAAAGCCUUCUUGUGGUCAGCUGAGCCUCAAACCUGCUGUCAAGAAGGUAAACUGGAUACUGGAUGGAGGGCCCUGAGGGAGAGGAGGAGAGCACACUGCUCUGCUCCUGCCCAGAGGGAGCAGAUACUGGUUCCAUUUGGAGGUGUGACGGCUGCCCCACAAUGCAUGAAUCACAACUAAAAUCCAACUAGAUCUCUAACUAAAUUUGUCGAGAUUUUGUCUUUUGACAAAAACAGUAAGAAUCCCCGAGCUCCCGUUUGGUUGACGAUAAGCUGCAAAGGAAAUGAACUUGGGCUUCUACCUCUUGUUUUCAGUCAUGUAUUGAUUGGGUGGGGAUGUAAGUCCAUAGUUCACAUUUUUCGAAAAAUUGCAAGAACAACAUUCAAAUCCAGGAUAACAAGAAAGAAAGGAUGAAAGUAAACUCAGAGGCUUAGGGAGACUUAGUCCAUGCAGAUGCCUACACUCUCCCUGGUUUUUCUUUUAAUCAAGCAAAAACAACUCUCCCAACUUGGAGUCUGACCCCAGCUCUUUAUUCCAGUAAUGGGCAGUCCUUCCGAAUCCUGUGAUUUUUUUUUCCUUUUCUCUGAAAAACUUUGAUCAUUCACAAUAACUACAAGACUUGUUUACUUCCCUGUGCCUGUUAAAACCAUUGUCAUCUUUUCGGAAAUGGGCAUUUUUGCUCUUCUGUAC